GCUUGUCUCAAAGAUUAAGCCAUGCAUGUCUUAGUGUAAAUAACUCUUAUGAAACUGCGAAUGGCUCAUUAAAUCAGUUAUCAAAUACGUGAUGGUCGCCUACUACAUGGAUAACCGUAGUAAUUCUAGAGCUAAUACAUGCACAAAGGCCCACUCACGUGGGUUGUGAUUAUUAGAUUAAAAACCAAUGCCCCUCGGGGCUCUCUGGUGAAUCAUGAUAACUAGUCGAAUCGACAGGCCUUGUGCCGGCGAUGGCUCAUUCAAAUUUCUUCCCUAUCAACUUUCGAUGUUUGGGUAUUGGCCAAACAUGGUGGCAACGGGUAACGGAGGGUUAGGGCUCGACCCCGGAGAAGGAGCCUGAGAAACGGCUACUACAUCCAAGGAAGGCAGCAGG
rnacentral:rRNA from 1 species